rnacentral:lncRNA from 1 species
UGUGAAGUCUUGCUUGAGAUGCAUCAUGCUGUAGAAAGUAGAAUAAAAAUUCCUACAACAAAAUCCUAACUCUAAUAGAAUACUAUUUAAAAUCUAAUUAAAUCUUAACAAUACUAAAUAAGCUUUAAUCAAAUUCAAAAUAAACCUAAAAGAAAUGACAAGAGAAACAAUAAAAAAUCUUAAAAGAAUUGAAAGAAAAUCUACGAUAAAUCUCAAAAGAAUCCUUAAGAAAUCCUAAAAAAUAUCAAAAUAAUCACAAAUACAUCUUAAAUAAAUCUCAAUUAAAUACUAAUUUAAUCCUUAUUGAAAUCCUAAUAGAUUUCAAUCAAAUCCUAGACAAAUCCAAAAUCUUAAAUAAAAAUCUAAAAAAAUCUUAAAUCUUAAUUCAAACUCUAAGCAAAUUCUAAAUCCUAAAUCAAACCUUAGAAAAAUUCUAAAUCCUAGACCAAAUCCUAAACAAAUCCUAAAUCCUAAAUCAAAUCUUAAAUCCUAAGCCAAAUCAUAAACAAAUCUUAAAUCGUAUAUCAAAUCUUAGAAAAAUCUUAAAUACUUAAUCCUAAACCUUAAACCCUAUAUCAAUUCCUAGAUAAAUCUUAAAUCCUAAAUCAAAUCCUAGAUAAAUCCUAAAUCCUAAACCAAAUCUUAAUGAAACCUUAA